UACGAAGGGGGCUAGCGUUGCUCGGAAUCACUGGGCGUAAAGGGUGCGUAGGCGGGUCUUUAAGUCAGGGGUGAAAUCCUGGAGCUCAACUCCAGAACUGCCUUUGAUACUGGGAAUCUCGAGUCCGGGAGAGGUGAGUGGAACUGCGAGUGUAGAGGUGAAAUUCGUAGAUAUUAGGAAGAACACCAGUGGCGAAGGCGGCUCACUGGUCCGGUACUGACGCUGAGGUGCGAAAGCG
rnacentral:rRNA from 1 species